rnacentral:pre_miRNA from 8 species
UGUCAGAACUUCAUGACCUUGGCUCUAGACUGCUUACUGCUUAUGGAGUCCGACAGUACAGUAACAGUCUACAGUCAUGGCUACUGAAGUCUGGC